ACUAGCUAGGAAGAUAAUGCAUAAAGUGCAGCUCAGACGUCUUUGGUCAACUAACCGGUCCGUCUGAAUUCAGGGAUUUUAAUAAAUUAAUUCUAUCACAGUCAUAAUAUACAUUUGUAAUUUUUUUUUACGUUAGUAUUAAUCUUAGAGGUUCCUUAAAAUUUUUUUUUUCAAAUUUUAGGUUUUACUUAUGCAUUUUAUCGUACUAAGAAUGAUUCAGAGGAUAGUUCUUAUUGUGUGACCAAAGAAAGGAAACUAUGAGCUGAGAAGGAAACAUGAAAUGAAUAAAAAUAUAUAAAAUUUAACAGAAUUAUGGGUUCACAAUUCAUCACAAUAAAAGGUAUAAAAUUGUUCUCCUUUUAUGUUGAUAAAUCAAAGAAAUUUCUGUAUUGUGAUCUGUCGCAGAAUAAUCGCCAAGUUGUGGCAAAUUCCGGGCAGCGACCCGCGAAAAACUGAAGACGAAAAAAAAAUCACAUAAAUAGGCCAACUCGUAGUCACCUCUGGGCAAACAAGGAUAACAAUAAUUCUGAUGCCAGGAUGAAUCUUAUUCUCUUCUGAAAUCCCAUUUUCAUAACAUGGGUAAUUCUGAAAUUGUAUGAGACUUAUUAACUUCUGAGAUUCAUGACAUGAAGAUGUCUUAAAGUCUAACUGUUCUCGACUCCAUUUUAAGAGCAUCAGGAACUUGAGUCUCAUUAGAAAGGACUUUUUCCCUAAAGUAAAGGAUUUUUUCUGAAGAUGGACAUCAAACUGUGCCUCAAUCUAGAAUGACAUAAAUUGGGAUGAAAAAGGUCAUAAACAAAUGAUGCAUUAUUUAUGAAUGGAGAUAGCUACAUGUUACAUAUGGAGAUAACUACAUGUACACAUAGCUGUCUUACAUGCCAUAGCCUAUAAGACAGCUUGCAUUUUCACCUAGCAUUUUAACUUUGAAUUUCAAAGAGCAGUUGACACUUGAUUUAUUAACCCCAUAAUCCAAGGAGGCUCGGAGUUCUUGAGGCAAGGAUAUGGUCAGAGUUGGGUCCAGUGUGGAGGAUACUUGAUCAUCACCGUCCAGUCCCAAGUCCAUAUCGUUCAAGUCCAGAAGGGGACCAAAGUCCAGUGAGGCUGUGGUCGAGCAUCCUGUCUCCCCAAAUCCAGCGGAUGAGGGUGGAGUCAUGUCCAUCACAGAUUGUGCCAGGUUGAUGUCAGGGGAGUUGGGACCGUCCAUUGAGUUGACCGUUGUCGAGAGGUAGGAAGUGGACGCUUUAGAAAAAAAGACAUCACCUGAGGCAAUGGAUGUUUGAUACAGUGGAAUGGAGUCUCCAUUGUUUGAUAGGGGUGUCAAGGCUGAUGUUGGCUCUUCAGCUGCACUGGGAGGUAGAUCUUUGAGAAGAAAAACAAAACAUUGCUAGCAUAACCCUGGUAAAAUAUUUGUAUGACUCUGCUCCGCUACAGUUUUUGCUGGUUGGCAAAAGAUGCAAUGCAAGAGAGCAUUGUUAAAAGAAUGAAUUCAAGAUAAAGGAACGAGAUUAUCAAAUGAAGUUUUUGAAAGAGAAAGAUUCUUUGGUUGUACUAGCUAGAAAGAGGUUGCUCAUUGAAUUUUAGACGAUGUCUUAUAUCUAAAUUCUAAAAUAAUUUAUUGCUAUGUUUUAUUAUCAAAUUAUGUAUUUUUUUAAAUAAAAUUUAUCUUGAUUCAUUAUUAAACAUCUGGCUUGGAAAUAUUCGUCGACUAACAUAACUAGUAACAGCUCGGGUAUAAUGGCAAUAUUAUAUUGGUAAAAAAGAAAUGCUCUUUUUAAGAAGAUUUAAAUUAAUACAAUAAAUGAUAAGACCACGAAUGAUUCAUAAACUGCUAAAAGAACGUUCUAAGUGUGUACGAUUCACGCACAACCGAUUGCCGUUUGAAGAAAGGAACCUGAUUUAUGAGUUUUUCGCUGGAAAAUAUAUGGAUGGUGUUUCCUACACUAGGGUGCCCUGCAAGCUCUUUACUACCACCUAUAUUUCCGGGUUACUGUUUCUAGUGUAUUUUGAAGCCAUUUGGCUCACAGUGUUUUGAGAUUCUCUUGAGUAGUAUUUCUUAUACGUGUAUUAGUUACCUGGUUUAU
rnacentral:lncRNA from 1 species